AUUGAACGCUGGCGGCAGGCCUAACACAUGCAAGUCGAACGAGCGGCGGACGGGUGAGUAAUGUCUGGGAAACUGCCUGAUGGAGGGGGAUAACUACUGGAAACGGUAGCUAAUACCGCAUACCAUCAGAUGUGCCCAGAUGGGCUUAGCUAGGAGGUGGGGUAAAGGCUCACCUAGGCGACGAUCCCUAGCUGGUCUGAGAGGAUGACCAGCCCCACUGGAACUGAGACACGGUCCAGACUCCUACGGGAGGCAGCAGUGGGGAAUAUUGCACAAGGGGCGCAAGCCUGAUGCAGCCAUGCCGCGUGUAUGAAGAAGGCCUUCGGGUUGUAAAGUACUUUCAGCGAGGAGGCGUUACCCGCAGAAGAAGCACCGGCUAACUCCGUGCCAGCAGCCGCGGUAAUAC
rnacentral:rRNA from 1 species